rnacentral:rRNA from 1 species
AAUUAACGCUGGCAGAGUGCAUAACACAUGCAAGUCGAGCGGAACUAUCUGCGAUUACAUCAAGGGUAGUUUAGCGGCAGACGAGUGAGUAACACGUAAGCAACCUACCCCUGAAUGGUGAACAACCAUCCGAAAGGAUGGCUAAUACGCCGUGACGUCCCCUGGGGGCAUCUCCGGGGGGAUUAGAGACCCGCAAGGGUCGUUCGGGGAGGGGCUUGCGUCCCAUCAGCUAGNGGUAGGGUAACGGCCUACCAAGGCUAUGACGGGUACCCGGCCUGAAAGGGCGGACGGGCACGAAGGCACUGAGAAACGGGCCUUACUCCUACGGGAGGCAGCAGUGGGGAAUUUUGGACAAUGGGGGAAACCCUGAUCCAGCAACUCUGCGUGAGGGACGAAGUCUUUCGGG